AGUGAACGCUGGCGGUAGGCCUAACACAUGCAAGUCGAACGGCAGCACAGUAAGAGCUUGCUCUUACGGGUGGCGAGUGGCGGACGGGUGAGGAAUACAUCGGAAUCUACUUUUUCGUGGGGGAUAACGUAGGGAAACUUACGCUAAUACCGCAUACGACCUACGGGUGAAAGCAGGGGAUCUUCGGACCUUGCGCGAUUGAAUGAGCCGAUGUCGGAUUAGCUAGUUGGCGGGGUAAAGGCCCACCAAGGCGACGAUCCGUAGCUGGUCUGAGAGGAUGAUCGCCCCCACUGGAACUGAGACACGGUCCAGACUCCUACGGGAGGCAGCAGUGGGGAAUAUUGGACAAUGGGCGCAAGCCUGAUCCAGCCAUACCGCGUGGGUGAAGAAGGCCUUCGGGUUGUAAAGCCCUUUUGUUGGGAAAGAAAAGCAGCAGGUUAAUACCCCGCUGUUCUGACGGUACCCAAAGAAUAAGCACCGGCUAACUUCGUG
rnacentral:rRNA from 1 species